UACAGAGGGUGCAAGCGUUGUUCGGAAUUAUUGGGCGUAAAGCGCGUGUAGGCGGCUUUGCAAGUCGGGUGUGAAAGCCCUCAGCUCAACUGAGGAAGUGCGCCCGAAACUGCAUGGCUUGAGUACCGGAGAGGAUGGUGGAAUUCCCCAAGUAGAGGUGAAAUUCGUAGAUAUGGGGAGGAACACCGGUGGCGAAGGCGACCAUCUGGACGGAUACUGACGCUGAGACACGAAAGCGUGGGUAGCAAACAGG
rnacentral:rRNA from 1 species